rnacentral:rRNA from 1 species
UACAGAGGUCCCAAGCGUUGUUCGGAUUUAUUGGGUGUAAAGGGUGCGUAGGCGGCGGAGUAAGUUGGGUGUGAAAUCCCGGGGCUCAACCUCGGAAUUGCAUUCAAUACUGCUUCGCUCGAGUACUGGAGAGGAGACUGGAAUUUACGGUGUAGCAGUGAAAUGCGUAGAUAUCGUAAGGAAGGCCGGUGGCGAAAGCGAGUCUCUGGACAGUUACUGACGCUGAUGCACGAAGGCCAGGGGAGCAAACGGG